AUUGAACGCUGGCGGCAUGCCUUACACAUGCAAGUCGAACGGCAGCACGGGGCAACCUGGUGGCGAGUGGCGAACGGGUGAGUAAUGUAUCGGAACGUACCUUUCAGUGGGGGAUAACGUAGCGAAAGUUACGCUAAUACCGCAUAUUCUGUGAGCAGGAAAGCAGGGGAUCUUAGGACCUUGCGCUGAUUGAGCGGCCGAUAUCAGAUUAGCUAGUUGGUGAGGUAAAGGCUCACCAAGGCGACGAUCUGUAGCGGGUCUGAGAGGAUGAUCCGCCACACUGGAACUGAGACACGGUCCAGACUCCUACGGGAGGCAGCAGUGGGGAAUUUUGGACAAUGGGCGCAAGCCUGAUCCAGCCAUGCCGCGUGAGUGAAGAAGGCCUUCGGGUUGUAAAGCUCUUUCAGCCGGGAAGAAAACGCAUGGGUUAAUACCCUGUGUGGAUGACGGUACCGGAAUAAGAAGCACCGACUAACUACGUGCCAGCCGCCGCAGUAACAC
rnacentral:rRNA from 1 species